UUUUUUUUUGAAAUUUUAUUUUUCUUUUUGUUACAUAUAUUUAAACACAAUUACAUUCACACAGAUUAUUAUAUCAUGGAUCUUAAGAAACAGAUUAAGUGACUCCCUCUGGAGAAGUGGAAUGGAAAAUAUGCUGAGACAAAUAGGAAAUUUAUUCUAUACUUUAUCCCAUUUUGUAUGGCUUUCAUCUUUACUAUUUAGUAUUAUCUAUUACAUUUCAAUUUUUCUUUAAAAAUUAGCAUUAUAUUAAAAUUGUGUAUAUUAUGCAACUAAAAUUUAUAAAGAAGAAAGCCUUAUAUACCAUUAAAUAUUUUAUAUAGCAUAAUAAAAAGAAUAACUUAACUGGUAAGAAUAACAAAAAUAAUACACCCUCUGAAAAUAAGUAAAAUAUAAAAUGCAUAAAUUGGUUAAAAAACAGUGUAACUAUAUAAAUAUGUCCUCACAAUUUGUUACAUCUUAUUGAUUCUUCAAUAUAGGCAUUACACCAUUCUAGGUGAUGUGAUAAACAAGACAUUAUAGACCUUACAUUGUACCAUGGAGAGAAAUGGUUAUUAAUAAUACAAUUGUAGAACUGUAUUAUUUAAUUGUACAGUUGCAUUAUUUAAUUAUAAUUAUCAUAAAUUCUUUGAUGGAGAGGAAAUCAGAAUCAGAUCUAAGAAGACUUCAGCAUUCCAAGAAUGAUGUCAAAUGACCCCCUUCAUGGUGGAUUAUGCACUUAUUUACUAUGAGAUAUAUUUCUUCUCCAGAGAUUCCUUGUUUGUGUAUCAAUUGUAGAUUUUUGGUUUGCAGUUAUUCUGAAGUUUUGAUAUAAGAGUCUAUAUGUAUAUGAGAUUGUUUUAAGUUGUUGUUCUCUUAAUUGCAAGUUCAUCUCCAGUGUCCUGCAUUUGUACCCACCUCUUCUCAUGAUUUCUGAUUUUGGUGGUAUAAUUGUGCAUGGAUGAUUUCGUAUCUUUACUGUAUAUAUACCUUUACUGGUGAGCCUUGUCAUUUGUGGAAUUUUUGUUUCCUGUUGCUAUCUUUUCUUUUCUGCCUAGAGAAGUUCCUUUAGUAUUUGUUGUAAGGCUGGUUUAGUGUUGCUGAAUUCUCUCAGCUUUUGCUUAUCUGAGAAGGUUUUGAUUUCUCCUUCAAAUCUGAAUGAGAGCCUUGCUGGGUAGAGUAAUCUUGGCUGGAGGUUUUUUCCUUUUAUCACGUUAAAUAUAUCCUGCCACUCCUUUCUGGCCUGCAGAGUUUCUGCUGAAAAAUCUGUCGAUAACCUUAUUGGGGUUCCCUUGUUUCUUUUCCCUUGCUGCUUUCAAGAUUUUCUCUUUGUCUUUAAUUUUGGUCAGUUUGAUUAAUAUGUGUUUCAGUGUAUUCCUCCUUGGGUUUAUUUUAUACAGUACUUAUUGUGCUUCCUGGAUUUGAGUGAGUGGUUCCUUUCCUGUGUUAGUUUUCGGCUAUUAUCUCUUGGAAUAUUUUUUCUGUCCCCUUCUCUCUCUUUUCUUCUGGCACCCCUAUAAUACGGAUGUUGGUGCAUUUAACAUUGUUCCAGAGUUCUCUGAGACUCUCUUCAUUUGUUUUCGAUCUUUUUUCUUUUUUUUGUUCUGCAUCCGCAGUUUCCACUAAUCUGUCUUCCUUCUCACUUAUUCGUUCUUCUGCAUCCUGUAUUCUGCUGUUGGCUGCUUCUAGUGCAUUUUUUAUUUCAGUUAUUGUAUUUUGCAUCUCUUCUUGUUUAAGUUUUAUAUCCUGUAUCUCUUUGCUCAGUGUUUCCUGUAAGUUAUCCAUCUUUGCCUCCAGUUUAUUUCCAGUGUCUUGCAUCAUCUUCAACAUCAACAAUCUAAAGUCUUUUUCCUGGAGGCUGAGAAUCUCCUGAUCACUUAGCUGAUUUUCUGGGGUUUUUCCUUUCUCCCUCAUCUGAGUUAUAGUUCUCUGUCUUUUCCUUUUUAUAGGUUUUUGGUGUGGUGACCUUUUUACAGAUAAUAGAGUUGUAGCCUCUCUUACUUCUGGUGUCUGCUCCCCACCUAACCCCAUUCUUUAGCUGCUCAGGAAAAGAUGGGUCCCUUUCCCUUUCUCCAUCCUGCACAGGGCUAGCACCACUGGCUGGAUGAGACGCUACCUUUUUUUCCCUUUCCUCUGUGUUGUGUCUCAAGGUAUGGUCCCAGGACCAGCAGCAUCAGCACCACUUGGGGAUAUGUUAAAUAUGCAAAUCAUUGGCCCUCACCCUACACCUUGUGGAUCUGAAACCCUUGGAUGGGGCCCAUCCAUCUGCACUUGAACAAGUCUUCUAGAUGAUUCUAACAGUCAUAUAAAUAAGAGAACCACCGUUCUGUGUCUUUAGAUCCAGACUCUGUCUCUAACACACUUCUCAGGGAAGCCGCCAGAGCAACAGAUAUAAAGUCAAGGACUGUGUCUGCCAAAAGCAUCUGCUAUUCCACUCACUAGGCUGAAGUGAGUACUCCCAGCUGUUGGGAUUCCCAGUGGGCCACCAUCUAAGCUGGCCUGGACUCUACUUAUUCCUGUCCUAACUGACUUCCUGUCUUCCCUCUGCAUCCUACACACUUACAUCCUCCAAAUCUCUUCUCUCGGUAACUCUGUAAUGUUAAAAUACAUCCAGUGAGGGAGUUCCUUUGUGGCUCAGCAGUAACAAACCCGAUUAGUAUCCAUGAGGAUGUGGGUUCAAUCCCUGACCGUGCUUAGCAGAUUAAGGAUCCUGUGUUGCCUCGAGGUGUGGUGUAAGUUGCAGACAUGGCUCAGAGCCCAUGUUACUGUCGCUGUGACUGUGGCAUAGGCUGGCAGCUACAGCUCUAAUUCAACCCCUAACCUGGGAACUUUCAUACGCCAUGAAUGCAGCCCUAAAAAGACAAAAAAAAAAAAAUCCAAUGAUGCUUCAAAUGCAAUGAAAUUUCUGGAAUUUAUGGAUCAAAUUUGUCCAAAUUUUCUCUACACACUUGGAACAGAUACCCCAAACUCCUGCCCCCCUCUAGUUUUAUUGAGAUAUAGCUGACAUAUAGCCCUAUAUAAGAUUAAGGUGUACAGCAUAAUGACCUGACAUACAGAAAUUGCAAAAUGGUUACCAAGAUAAGUUUAGUAAACAUCCAUCACCUCAUAGAGUUGCAAAACAUUUUUUCCUUGUGAUAAGAACUUUUAGGAUCUGCCCUCUUAGCAACUUUCAAGUAUACCCUGCAGCAGUGCGAACUACAGUCGCUGUGUUGUACAUUCUAUGCUCAGUACUUAUUUACCUUGUACUUGGAAGUUUGUAUCACAGUUUCCCCAUCUUUAAGGUGGUGUCCCAAUCACUCCAGUUAUGGUGCCCCCUGAAACUUUAGGAGGUUCUUAUUGACAUUUUCCUGAGUACUGAGUCCUUUGCUCCACCGGGGAUCGUUCUGGUCAGCACUGGAAAGGUGGCUUCUCUUCCUCUGCUGGUUGUCUCCAGGUGCCAGGGAGCCCUCUUUUCUAGCCCCAUCUCUAAGAAGAGUGGGACCUGGCCUGGGAGCAUCUUUCUCUGGCCUUCUUAUCUGUCAUCCAGUCUCCAAGAUCUCAUUCUCCUUUGUGUGUGUGUGUGUGUGUGUGUGGAAAUGUAUUGUGAUCCUGGGAUUGUAAAGCAGAAAAGAACCUCAGCCACAUUCAGCUACUUCACAUGACAAAUGAACACACUGCAGUCUGAAGAUGUCAAAAGCCUGUGCCGCGACCCAGCUGGUGGCGGUCGGCUGUGUCUGGCACACCGUUUGCUAAACUCUCCUCAAAUAUUCGUUUUACUUUGCUCGAGUUUUCAGGACCCUAGUGAGGGUGAGAUGAAUCCUGGAGAUAUGGGGCAGCUGACAUAUGUAUACACACGCCAGAGAGUGUUAUCGCAAAGUGCUUUUCUUUCCCCUGCUUUGAAGUCUGGCAAAUCCCCCAGUGCCUUCUCUGAGAGAUACUCAAGAAGCAAUGAAUGCCUGUUUUCAAUAGGAAAGACAAGUUUUAUGUAAAGAAUGGCCUUCUACCAAGCUUCAGAAACGCUUCUGGGCUAAGAGAAGCAGCAGCCCAGCACUUCUGAGCUAUUUGUGUCAGUUUAAAAGGCAGGUGUCUUUCCAUUGACCUGUUUUCAGUGCUAUAAUCCCAUUACCUUGGCACUAUCCUCUGGAGUUUUGCUUUGUUUGGGAAUUUUAAAUUCCUUUAUUUGUAACAGAUCAAAAGCUAUCUGGCAUACAUGCUGCAUUAGGAAUCGGGCUGUUUGAUGGAUCUUGCUGCCUUCCCGAAUGCACACGUCCGCAUAAUUCCCGGAUAACUGCUCACCGUCUGCCCAGUCCUCCCAACUCUAAGUAGCAACCCUGUUCUCAAACCUUUCAACUCCUCUCCCUAGGAGAUUAACUAAUAACUUUGUGGAUAAAUAAAAAAUCAGGACUUCCUAUGAGCCUUACCAGGCUGCUUUAUGUCACUGAGUAGGGCAUCUCUCACAGAGCCUUCAGCUGGGAUUACAGUAGGGGUAUCUUGGCUCAUGGGAGUGCCCAACAGUCUGAGUGCUGGGCUGCAUCCCAUUACCUGCCCUCCACCGCUGUUCUUCCACGUGGACAGUGGCACCAAACCUGGGCUGAGAACUGUGAUGGGUAGUUUGAAGGAUUCAGAACAGGGGUUGGCAUGGCCCAUGGACCAAAUCCAACUGCCUCCUUUUUUUGGGUCCAGUCUACUCUAACAAUGGCUUUUGAACAAUUAGGGGGAAAAAAAGAAGAAUAGUAUUUCUUGACAUGUGAAAACCUUAUGAAAUUCAAAGUUUAUUGUCCAUAAAGUAAAUUGUUAUUAGAGCAUCCCCAUGGUUAUUCAUUACUUAUGGCUGCCUUUGUAUUAUAAAGGCAGAGUUGAGUAGUUGUGAGAGAGAUCAUAGGCCCACAGAAUCUAGAAUAGAGACCAUUUGUUCAUUUAUAAAUGCUAGGCACGUUUUAUGUGCCAAGUUCUCUGCUAAGUAUUGAUGGUUCCAUUGAAUGAUGUGAAAAAACAUCUCUUGGGGAGCUCAAUCGAUCAGGUAAAACAAGGUAAAGAGAAGCAUUACAUAAUGAGAUAGCUGCUAUAGUAGAGAUGUAUAAGAAAUGUCUACAGGGUAGGCAAACUUUCUUGGGAGGCAGUGAGGGAACAGACAGGCAUCUGACAUUUCAGCUACUGGCGUAGAGGUAAGGGGCUCAAUACUCCUACCACCUCACACAGCCACUACUGCAAACUUUGUGCUAUUUCUUGCCAAUCUCUCUUCUUAUGCAUUUUUAUAUGGCUGUAUUCAUAGCACAGAUACUUGGUGUAAUACGUGUCACCUGUUAUGAGUGGGAAGCUGCAAUGGGUCGGCAUUAAGUGCCAAUGUUGGGAUUAAACUACGUGGAAAGUCACUUCACCCCUCUAAACCUCAAUGUCCUCAUUUGUAAGAUGAGGAUCACUGAAAACCUAUUUGAGAGGGUUCUUGGGAGGGCUCAGUGAGACAAAGCAUUGAGGACACUUAACACAGGACCCAGUGGGUGAUAAGUACUCAGUGAUGUCUGCUAGUAUAGUCCUCCUUCUCAGUUGCUGCUCAUGGCCUGACUCUCCCCAAUGCCGGAAACUUCCAGGUCGAUGGGAGGUGGGUGGAAGUAAAAACCCAGGAAUGGAAGUUAAUUCUGGGUAAAGGGUAUUUCAGGAAAGGAGAAGAGCAUGUGCAAGGGCGCUGAGGCAUCGAAUCACAUGGAGUCCAACAAAUUCAAUAGAUUCUUCAGGUUUAGUUAUUCAUAUUCUACUUUUUUAUCGAAAGAUUUGAGUCAUAUUAUGUAUAAAAACCAAACAAUGGGACCAGGAUACAGGACAGUUGCAUCCAUAUUGUAUUCCUAUCAGUGGCUCAGUGCUUGUGAUAUAUGACACAUACCUGGUACAUGGUUUUUAGUGAAAACAUGGAAUGAUGUUUCAGGUAAUGGAAAGUGUUUGGCACAAAAUGAAUAUGGGAGAAGGA
ensembl:lncRNA